GAUCAUUGCAUGAAAUGUUUGCUGUGUGGAGACCCUAAUACCCUGUAACUUCCAAAUUGGUGAACACUCCACUAUCUUGAUGUGAAUGCCCUAAGCCCUUAAAGUGUCAACACCCUGCUCCUAGCAUAAGGCACACCGUCUGGCCCACACCGAUAAGACACAAGUUGUUUACUCCCGGCUAUAUAAGCAUGGGACCUUCUUCAGUAAACAUCUCCUGCCAGAUAGAGGAGGAUUCCACGUCACUUCAUGAGACAAGCCCCUGACUGAUUGCUCUGCUGUGUGAGCCUGAACCAACUGCGGCUGCCUGCCUAUCUCCGUCUUCCUAGUCUGUCUUUUGGUGUGCAUCUUCGGGUGGCCUUUGCAGGAGCCUAGGACCCACUAGAAAUGGCACAGAAUUCUCCAAAAG